rnacentral:rRNA from 1 species
UGGAAGUAAAAGUCGUAUUUGAGGUAUCCGUUGGUGAACCAGCGGAGGGAUCAUUACCGAGUUUACAACUCCCAAACCCAAUGUGAACGUUACCAAACUGUUGCCUCGGCGGGGUCACGCCCCGGGUGCGUCGCAGCCCCGGAACCAGGCGCCCGCCGGAGGAACCAACCAAACUCUUUCUGUAGUCCCCUCGCGGACGUAUUUCUUUACAGCUCUGAGCAAAAAUUCAAAAUGAAUCAAAACUUUCAACAACGGAUCUCUUGGUUCUGGCAUCGAUGAAGAACGCAGCGAAAUGCGAUAAGUAAUGUGAAUUGCAGAAUUCAGUGAAUCAUCGAAUCUUUGAACGCACAUUGCGCCCGCCAGUAUUCUGGCGGGCAUGCCUGUCCGAGCGUCAUUUCAACCCUCGAACCCCUCCGGGGGAUCGGCGUUGGGGAUCGGGACCCCUCACACGGGUGCCGGCCCCUAAAUACAGUGGCGGUCUCGCCGCAGCCUCUCCUGCGCAGUAGUUUGCACAACUCGCACCGGGAGCGCGGCGCGUCCACGUCCGUAAAACACCCAACUUUCUGAAAUGUUGACCUCGGAUCAGGUAGGAAUACCCGCUGAACUUACACAUAUCAAUAAGCGGAGGAAC